GCGAGGUUGGAGACUAUAGGUCUGUUCUAUUUCAAGUCAGGAUCAGGAUUUCAGAGUUUCAAGUAUUUAUACUACUUGUAUUAAAGGAAAUAACUAAAUAUACAAAACCAUAGAAUGUCCAUUGAGGGAAUUUCGAUGAAUUGGGGCAAAAUUGUGGUUGCCUAUUCAUGGACAUUAAUAAACAACAUAAUAUCGAUAUUUCGAUUACAUCCUCCAAUGAAACUAACAAAUGAAGCAACCGAAGCAGAGAAAAUAACCCAAGAAGACAGUGCAGCCGAGUUAUUAGCAAAUAACUCAAAUAAUACCCCUCUUAAUGACGCAAAAAUUCUCGAUAGUCUACCAAACAUAGCCGUGAAUUUAAAUGAAGCCAAAAAUAACGCUGAUGGUGACAACAUUGCUAACAGUUCUGAUGAGGAUAGUAUCACAGAAGAGAGUUGCCCUGAACCCUCUGAAGAAUGUCCUGACAUCGAGAUCUGAAGAUCUGAAUAUAAAACUAAUGGAUUAAAACUUGAAAAAAUUGAAUCGACAAUGAAGAGUUGUCCAGAAUACAGAGGACAGAUAAAUAUGAACGACAUCGUAUCGGUACUCAAUGUAGAAGAGCCAACUAUAUACAUUGUCCAUGAUGAAAAAAGGCCAAUGUCCCAUGCCACUCUACUCUAUAUCUUCGUAAAUGGUAAAAAGCCUUUGUAUUUCGACUCCAAUGGCGGAUGCCCUACCUAUCUACGAGAUAUAGUUGACUGGAACCGUUUUAAGGUACAGGCCGAUUCUAACAACACCUGUGCGAUACAUUGCAUAUUUGUAGCCAUCAAUAUCAGUAGAGGAAAACCCUGGCCGGAAAUUCUAAUGGAAUAUAAAUGUGGAAGCUGUGAUGAUAACGAUGAAAAAGUUAUUCACUUCUUUGAAAAUCUUACCUAGUAAAAAGCACUCCCUGGCAAGGAGCCUGCCAUAGUCACAAAUUUAGGUAGUCCAAUGUCAGAUAGUUACCCAAUGUUCAACAAUGUAAAUUGAUUUAAAUAUAUUGUAUUAAUCA